CAACAGGGAUUGCCCUAGUAACGGCGAGUGAAGCGGCAACAGCUCAAAUUUGAAAUCUGGCUCUCGGGCCCGAGUUGUAAUUUGUAGAGGAUACUUUUGAUGCGGUGCCUUCCGAGUUCCCUGGAACGGGACGCCAUAGAGGGUGAGAGCCCCGUCUGGUUGGAUGCCAAAUCUCUGUAAAGUUCCUUCAACGAGUCGAGUAGUUUGGGAAUGCUGCUCUAAAUGGGAGGUAUAUGUCUUCUAAAGCUAAAUACCGGCCAGAGACCGAUAGCGCACAAGUAGAGUGAUCGAAAGAUGAAAAGCACUUUGAAAAGAGAGUUAAAAAGUACGUGAAAUUGUUGAAAGGGAAGCGUUUAUGACCAGACUUGGGCUUGGUUAAUCAUCUGGGGUUCUCCCCAGUGCACUUUUCCAGUCCAGGCCAGCAUCAGUUUUCCCCGGGGGAUAAAGGCGGCGGGAAUGUGGCUCUCUUCGGGGAGUGUUAUAGCCCACCGUGUAAUACCCUGGGGGGGACUGAGGUUCGCGCAUCUGCAAGGAU
rnacentral:rRNA from 2 species